AACGACUUUCCUGUGAAGCAUCAUAAUUCUUGUUUCUCUGUGUUAAACACACAGAAUAAAGAAUCAGGAUGAUGCCCCACAACAUUGCCUAUGUAUUAGAAAGCCAUCCUGAGGUACAUGGAAGGAAAUCGUGAUCUAUCUGGCCCUAAGGGAUGAUGGAAAAAGAGAUAAAAUGGAAAUACAAACUGAGCAGUUUCUGGUCUGAACUGUAAACAUCAAUGCGGAAUUUUUGACAGAUGGUGUGGUUCUAUUUUGUUGGUUUCCGGAACUGAGUUCAAAAUUAAGAGGGGCGCUUGGGGUCAUUAGUAUUGUGCCACUGAAGGUAAAUUCUUGGACUGGUGAAAGACAGACCAGAGGGAAAGCAUUUGCCAAUAAUAUUUUCAUUAAUCAAGAAAGAAAGUCAGAGGUUCGAAGAUGAUCACAAAGCAUCGUAGUUCUGACCACAAACAAUGUGGACUGGAGAUGCAGUUGUGUUAUACCCAUGAGCCUCCCGGGCAACUUCCUGGAAACCUAAGUGUUUGGGUUUGGUGGGAGUAUGGUUGCAAAGCUGAAACUUAAAGGAAUUGAUGGAAGGGCACCACUAGGAGUGGAGCCUGCAGCUUGAUUUGACUCAACAUGGGAGACCUCACCUGGACCAGACAAGGACAGGAUUGACAGAUUGAUAGCUCUUUCUUGAUUCCAUGGGUGGUGGUGCAUGGCUGUUCUUAUUUGGUGGAGCUAUUUGUCUGGUUAAUUCCAAUAAGAAAGGAGACUCUGGCAUGCUAACUAGUUAAGUGACCCCGGAGUGGUCAGCAUCCUCCAACUUCUUAUAGGGACAAGUGGCAUUCAGCCACCUGAGAUUGAGCAAUAACAGGUCUGUGAUGCCCUUAGAUGUCUGAGGCUGCAUGCACACUACACUGACUGGCUCACGUGUAUGCCAGCAGGAGUGAGUUACCCAUUGAACCCCAUUCAUGAUGGGGAUCAGGGAUUGCAAUUAUUCCCCAUGAAUGAGGAAUUCGCAGUAAGUGCGGGUCAUAAGUUUCCAUUAAUUAAGUCCCUGUUCUUUUUACACACUACCAAUUGGGGGAUUUAGUGAGGCCCUCAGAUCGGCCCUGCAGGGGUCUGCCCAUGACCCUGGUUGAGUGCUGACAAGAAGUCGAACUUGGCUAUCUAGAGGAAUUAAAAGUCCCAAAAAGGUUUCUGCAGGUGAACCUGCAGAAGGAUCAUUA
rnacentral:ncRNA from 1 species